ensembl:lncRNA
GGCAAAUGGAAGCUCAGAUAUGGUCAGGGCGACCAGUUGUCUGGAAGGAGGACUGCAGGAGGACCCCCCUGGGAGGAGGGGAAGCAGACAGCAGUUCAGAAGCAGAGCCUGGGAGGAUGUACAGAGUGCUUUCCAGAGGCGGUCACUGUCACCUGUCACCUGUGGCCCCUGUGCAGCUGACAUCACACAUGGUGCAGGGUAUGUAUAGGGCACAGUGUGGCCAGUGAGGAGACUGUCUGCAGAAGUGAGCUCACCUUCUCUCCUGGAAACUAGAGAGGAGGAAACAAAGGAUUUGUUUCGGUUGUGAGCUACUGAGCUAGGUGACCUACUUUUCUCCCUAUGGAUCACACUCAUGUAAUUGAGGACAUAAAAAUUAUAGUGAGUUUUGCCUGGAUGUUUUAGGUGAGAUGUAUUGGAUUUCAGAAUUCCAAAAACCACCUUCCUGGCUCCUGUUCCUUCUCAGUCGUGGACCCUGUGUUGGCUGCUGCCCCCAUCUCUCCAGUGUUUUCUUCCCAGAAAGCCUGUCCCCUCCUUCUUGCAGGUGGUUAUGAAGGCCCUGCCCCUUUCUCCUUCUUCCUCUCUGUUCACAGAGCCUGUGUGAGUAUAGGUGGGUAAAGGGAAGGGUGAAGUACACAUUCUUGGCCAUCAGUACUGCCUAAUGGAUGACGCAGAAUGAGGAGAAAGGGGACCAAAGUGACAUCUAUCCUUGGGUAGCAGAUUUUGGGGCUAAGAGUUUUAAGACUGAGAGACCAGUAUUUGUUUUUUAAACUCUGAUGAUACAUAAAACAUGGGUCUGUACUUGCAGCAAGGCCCUCUAGUUCAUGAAUUAAUGU